CUUUGUAAAUUUAAAAAAGGAAGAGUGCAUCCCGUGGGUCUUUGAGUCUUGUUCACACUAGUGCCGUUGCCCAUAGGCGCUAGGAUAUUGUAAUAUUGUCUAGUAAAUUGUUAAGAUAACCUAUUAAAUUAAUUUGAUAAUCUGGGCCAUGUUAUUAAUUUGAUAAUCUGGGCAACGUAAUAAACUUUGGAUACACAGCCGCGGAGUCUUAUGAGCAUGGCCGGCAUUCUACUAUGCCGACACUUUAUUGGCUAACACUUCAUUUGAAUAACAUAUAUACUCUUGAAUGACGAGGAUGAUUAUCUAACUAGAGGAUGAUUGGAUGAAAAUGGCGGCAGAAUACGCUGCAAUCUCGGACACGGGGGAAGAGCCUGCAUACAAGGAUGAGUACGCCAUGCUCACCAUUUCCCUGAACUACUUUUUGACUAACAUAGCUCUAUGUCAGAAAUUGCAUUGUGAGUUACAG